rnacentral:lncRNA from 1 species
AUUACAUAGUAGCUGCAAAAUAAUUUGGCUUUCUUGGAGUUGGACACCACCUGAACCUGAGUGAAAUGAUUGUGCACUUCUUAAUGGCCUCCAUCUCUGGCCAAGCUGCCUUGGGACCAGAACAAUCAUCUAAGUCCCAGUUUCCAGCCUAAAACAGCAUGAGGACAAGGCCAGGAGGCCACAGCAAGGCUGUAAUCAGAACCCACAAGGAUUGCAUGGAGAUGCUGCAGUGCCGCCACCACCCAACGGCCGGAGCCCCCAGCAAAGGUACAGUUUUCCACAAAAUGGGAGAAAAGUAUAAGAAGCUCUUCCUGCUAUGGGUAAGGUAGUGAAAUUACAAGUCAUUCACUAAAUAUAAAUUCAAAUGUAAAGAUAUAUGUGAUUCUUGAAUAUAUGAAAUGUGUUCAGAUAGUCUUUCAAGGAGCCCAGCUGCCUGACCCCUAUAAGGACCCCAGGACACUGUCCUCUGGAGUGGAGCUGUAUUUGAUGUGUGUUUAUCCAUCACUAGACUGUAAGUGACAGAUAAAUCUUACAACAGGGCUCAUGUCUGCUUUAUCUUCAUUUUAUCUCCAGAGCCCCAAUACAAUGCUUCGUACCUAGAAGGCUCUCAGAAACAGAAAUCUGGUGAAUUAGUUAAAUUAUAUGCUUCUCUGCCCUCUGCCCUCCAUAAGAAAAAAAGAAAAGACCUAUAAAAGGCAUUCUGAACACUGGAGUUUGGCUCCUGUUUACCAUGUACAUCUAGAGAAGUGUACAAUUCGUGCUUGUAUGAAAUAAUGAAUGUUCACAAAGUGAGUAUACUUCUGUAAGCACUGCCUAAAUCAAAAGCAGCAAUGUGACCAGCCCCCCGGCCACCCUUGGUGCUCUCCCAAGCACUCCUCCACCAUCCUCUCCAACUGCAACCGCUAUCCUGAUUUCUAACACCCUAGGGGAGUUUUGCCUAGUUUUAAAUUUUACAUGAAUGGAGUCUCAUCAUAUGUAUUACUUUUACACUCAUAAUAUUUUCAAGAUAAGGAUAAAAAGCAAAAUUUUGGUCUUAUCACAAAGAUAUACCUGAGAUACACGAUCUUUAGAUUCUAAAUGACAAAGACUGAACUAAUCUAAAGGACAAAAAUGCAAACUGCAUUUUCACUUCUGGCUAAACUGAAUUUUUAAAAAAUUUCUCUUAUGCUUUCUUAUGUUUUAAUGAUCAUUCAUGAUAUUGCUUAAUUUCAGAGCAUAGAAAAUUGUGAAGUACAGUAGCAAAGACAUGGAAUCAACCUAAAUGCCCA